AGGUAAACUGCGCAUACUGAAGGAGGAACUCGGUACAAAUAAGCAAACCCCAGACCAGUGUCUAUCUCCCAGUGAUCCAAACUGGUAUUUCUGGUCGGAGAAGCAGGAGUGGGUGCAUCUCCGGGCGGCUGCAGGACUCGGCCCCAGUCGCCCCCCCUCCAACUCCCCGGCCGCAGCGGCUGGAGGCCCCACUCGCUGCCCCUGGCGUACCUGGCUCUCGGCGGCGGGGAUGCCGGACUCCAGCUCGCACAGCGCGCGGAAGUUAUGCAGCUCGAAGUCGGCGUCGACCUGGAGGGAAAAGGUCACCUCGGAGAGGUCCCUCCGCACACAGUACACGCUAGCACGGCCGUCGCCACCCGCCUGCGAGCCCGUCUGCCUGCCGGCCUGCCUCCCACCGCUGCCGUCAAGCGCGGGCCGCCCGGCGCCCCGCCCCGCUGCAACGCGGCUGCCGUAAAGCGCC